rnacentral:rRNA from 1 species
AGAGUUUGAUCCUGGCUCAGGAUGAACGCUGACAGAAUGCUUAACACAUGCAAGUCUUUGGCGAAUCUGUGCUUGCACAGGCUAGCCAAGGCGGACGGGUGAGUAACGCGUAAAGAACUUGCCCUGCAGACAGGGAUAACAGACGGAAACGACUGAUAAUACCUGAUACAAUUGCCAGCACGCAUGUGCCCGGCAAUGAAAAGUGAUGCUGCAGGAGAGCUUUGCGUCCUAUUAGCUUGUUGGUGAGGUAACGGCUCACCAAGGCGAUGAUAGGUAGCCGGCCUGAGAGGGUGAACGGCCACAAGGGGACUGAGAUACGGCCCUUACUCCUACGGGAGGCAGCAGUGGGGAAUAUUGGACAAUGGGGGCAACCCUGAUCCAGCAAUUCUGUGUGCACGAAGAAGGUUUUCGGAUUGUAAAGUGCUUUCAGCAGGGAAGAAGAAAGUGACGGUACCUGCAGAAGAAGCGACGGCUAAAUACGUGCCAGCAGCCGCGGUAAUACGUAUGUCGCAAGCGUUAUCCGGAAUUAUUGGGCAUAAAGGGCAUCUAGGCGGCCAGACAAGUCUGGGGUGAAAACUUGCGGCUCAACCGCAAGCCUGCCCUGGAAACUGUUUGGCUAGAGUGCUGGAGAGGUGGACGGAACUGCACGAGUAGAGGUGAAAUUCGUAGAUAUGUGCAGGAAUGCCGAUGAUGAAGAUAGUUCACUGGACGGUAACUGACGCUGAAGUGCGAAAGCUGGGGGAGCGAACAGGAUUAGAUACCCUGGUAGUCCCAGCCGUAAACGAUGAUUACUGGGUGUGGGCAUGAAGAGUGUCCGUGCCGAAGCUAAUGCGAUAAGUAAUCCGCCUGGGGAGUACGGCCGCAAGGCUGAAACUCAAAGGAAUUGACGGGGACCCGCACAAGCGGUGGAGCAUGUGGUUUAAUUCGACGCAACGCGAGGAACCUUACCAGAUCUUGACAUCCCACGUAUGCCUACGAGAGUAGGCAGUGCCUUCGGGAACGUGGAGACAGGUGGUGCAUGGCUGUCGACAGCUCGUGUCGUGAGAUGUUGGGUUAAGUCCCGCAACGAGCGCAACCCCUAUCGCUAGUUGCCAUCAUUAAGUUGGGGACUCUAGCGAGACUGCCUGCGAAGAGCAGGAGGAAGGUGGGGAUGACGUCAAGUCAUCAUGCCC